rnacentral:lncRNA from 1 species
UGCAUGAUCUACUCAGAAAAAGACAUGGUCAUUCAAUUUUAGAACUUGGAAUUUCUUUUAAAACUUUAAAUCGUUCUACUUUGGAAACAGUUUUCAGCCCCCCACGUUUGAUGUUGAUUGACUCUGGGACUGUUUUCUAAUAAGUCCUUGCCAUUCUGCCUCCAACUGCAUCUUCUGUUUCUGUUUCUCUCCACAGGAGGUGGAAGACCAUGUGGCAUUUUUAAUAACGGUUCCCACUGCCCUGGCCAUUUUCUUUGCCAUAUUCAUUCUUGUCUGCAUAGAGUCUGUGUUCAAGAAGCUACUCCGUGUGUUUUCGCUGGUGAUUUGGAUAUGUCUGGUUGCCAUGGGAUACCUGUUCAUGUGCUUCGGAGGGACUGUGUCUGCCUGGGACCAGGUGUCAUUCUUCCUCUUCAUCAUCUUUGUGGUAUAUACCAUGCUUCCCUUCAACAUGCGAGAUGCCAUCAUUGCCAGCAUCCUCACAUCUUCAUCUCAUACGAUAGUGCUGAGCGUCUACCUGUCUGCAACACCAGGGGCCAAGGAGCACCUGUUCUGGCAGGUGAGUGCCCUUCCUUAUGGGACCCACUGGCCUUUCAGAGCUCUUCCAAACAUCGGUUAGAGCUGCCAGGGUGGGUUUGUUGA